GUGUCAACUGUUUUGCUUGACAUCUGUCAUUGUUAGUGAAAAAUCGUGUUUUCAAAUUUUGUUUCCUUGAUUUUCUAAUUCAUGGAAAACAUUGAUAAUUCUUAAAAGUUUCAAGUUUCUUACAAAGUUAAAUCAUGCCAGAGGUAUCCCUUAAAGACACUAUAAUCACAUCCCUUAACGCCCAAGAGCCAUGGCCAGAGAACGUCAAGUUGUUUCAACCAUAUGAGGUGGAGCAAAUCCUGCUCCCGGAUAAUGCUAGCUGCUUGGCUGUACAGGCAUUCCUAAAGAUGUGUAACCUGCCCUUUGAAGUGGAGAUGCGUUGGAAUGCAGAGUUCAUGUCACCGUCAGGCCGAGUCCCGUUCAUCAAGUGCGGUGCUUUUGUAGUCUCAGAACUGGAACCUAUAGUGCAGUUUGCAGCUAACAAGAAUGUGUCGUUAUGUGCAAGAUUAUCUACUGAGGAGAGAGCUGAGAUGAGGGCGUACAUGAGCCUUAUUACUAAUGUCUUGGUCAAUGCUGAGCUGUACAUAUCAUGGGUAGACCAGGACACUUUCAACGCGGUGACGCGCGUCCGCAACUCCUCGGUGUACCCCUGGCCGCUGGGCUGGCUGCAGACGAGGUCCAAGCGCGCCAGCGUCAUCAAGCGGCUCAAGGCGUUGCACUGGCACGACAAGACUUUGGACCAAGUUCUUGCUGAUGUGGAACAGUGCUGCAACUCACUGAGUCAAAGGCUUGGAGACAGGGAUUACUUCUUUGGCACACCGACAGAACUAGACGCGCUGGUAUUCGGCCACGUGUUCACAAUCAUCACGACGCGACUGCCUUGUCGCAAGCUGGCGGACACGGUGCGGCGACACGACACGUUAGUCGCGUUGGCCAAACGCAUCGACGAGCAGUACUUCAAGCGGCCAUAGCGCGAGGUGUUCAAGGACAUCUCCACUGUGUUUCAGAGUCCUUGAAUCUUUCUUCUAAACCCGACUAACCCUACAAUGGAAAACUAUCAAAAUGGCAAACAAUCAGAGGGGUUCGACAAAGCUGCAUUUUGUCUCCAUUACUAUUCAACCUAUACUCCAAAGAAAUCUUGACAAACUUUAAUAAGUUUAUACAACAAGGAAUCAUUAUAAACGGAGUAUGUGUAAAUAGCAUAAGAUAUGCCGAUGACGCCGCCUGACGUUCCUCUUAUUGUCGUCUUCAGGCCAACGCUAUAGAGUUAAAGAUUAUCAUUCUGACAAGUCGUAUUUUUCUAGUAAAAUAUAGUAUAACUUCAAUUACAAUUAAUUAUCUAAAUAAUAAAAAUAAUUGUUAUUAACUUAUUGCUGUAGAAACAUCUUUUUCUGCGUUUUGAUUCUUUUGUAGUUUUUUUUUCUCAAAGACUGCUGCUCCGAAUUAAAUACAUACAGUUCAGAAAUCAUUUUUAUUGUAUAACUAAGUUAAAAGCGGUUUAUUUUAGGUUUACCGAAAGAAAUAUUUGUUAUUUCAUAUCACUCAGUCUAAGAUCCGUAUUAGAAAGGACCUUCACCCAUUAUGUUUAUUGGAUGAAAUCACUUUUUAUCAAUUAAACGAAUAGAAAGACUUCAUCCAUUAAACAGAGGGUGAGGGUCGUUUCUAAUACUGAUCUUCUACUAACAACUAAUUUUGUAGGAUUAGCCACUAAGCCAAAAGACAAUGAUAUCAUUGUUAUCACGUUUUAAGAUUGUACAGCACAAAAUAAUAUAAAUAGCAGUGACAUAGUUGUUUAAUAGCAUUCAGUACAUAUCUAGAUAAUAAUAAGAAGAUAUAAAAUUAUUUGUUGAUUUAUAAUGAGUUUUUAACCGACUUCAAAAAAAGGAGGAGGUUUCUCAAUUCGACCGUAUAUAUAUUUUUUAUGACUUCAAGCUGUCUUAGACAACGCUUACGUAUUAAGAUUUUUUUUGCUAUCGUUAAUUUUAAACAGCUUAUUUUAUUUUGAUUAAUAGUUUGUACUUUGUUAUUAGAAACGGUGUUUUAUGUUAAAUCUAUUGUCCUCUUUGUGGCAAGUUGUUGUAAGUAUUACAUAAUAAUUAUGUUAAUUAAGCAAGUCUUAUUCAAGCAUCGAAAGUAAGUUUGUGCACUAGAAAGAGUGGAGGAUGUCUACUUGUAUACUGCUGUGCACUAACUAGGUAGUGAGUGUGUCUAGACUAGUCUUGGUACGAAUAAUUGAAAUAAAUAGGUAGAUAUGAUUUUUUCCAUGUUGUACUUUUAUGUAAGGUUUAUCGAUAUUUUAUUUAGUAUAAGUUUAACAUGCUUAAAAUGUGUGGGUACCUAUUGUCAAUUUUUAAAGAUAUGUUUGUCAUUAGGUACUCUAACUGGUAGGUGUGUUUUUUCCCUGGGAUAGAUUAUAGCGUUUGAAUGUGUCCGAAUAGUUUCAAAAUUUGAUCGGAGAAUCGAAUUGCUUCAGCAAUUUCAUGUGAGUAGUAGCUAUUUGUCCAUUUCAACGUUUUUGUUUUUCAAAGUUUCAAGUAAUGAACUCUUAAAAAUAGUGUCAUCCUUUCUAAACGGAAUCAUCAACAAGGGAUACAUGACUUUUAAUUUUGCCAAUUUUGUUCAGCUACCUACUAAACAUUUUCUAAGAUCCGUAUUAGAAACGACCUUCACCCAUCUGUUUAAUGGAUGAAUAGUGUUGUAUAAUUUCUUGGCUAAACUAUUGUUAACCAACAUUAAUAAUAGUUUGGCCAGGAGUUUUUGAGGCAAGCUACUAACACUAAAACAGUUUUUAUCCAUUAAACACACCCAUCUGCUAAUAGGUUGUUUCAUAAACUCCUGGCCAAACUAUCAUUAAUGUUGGUUAAUAAUAGUUUGGCCAAGAAAUUAUAAAUCACUUUUCAUCUAUUAAACAGAUGGGUGAAGGUCGAUUCUUAUUCGGAUCUUCUACAAACAGGAUUCCUCGUUAAUUUAAAAAAAACCAUGGAUUUUUCUGCAUUAUCUAUGGUUUUAUAUAUCCCAUAGAUGAAAGUUACGUUUCUUGCUAAAGUGUUUUCAGAUAGCAUGGGUACGGUGUCAGUCGCCUGUAUGACGUUCAUACUACGUACUAUUAUCCUGAAGAGUGAACUGUCACCCGCACCAUCCUACAUGAAACGAACUGUAGCUUAGCAAGUGGCCCUGAUUUUGAUAUUGCACAGAUUGAAUGUAGCAGGAGUAAGUAGUUUUUUUUGGACGUUUAUUUAUAAAUUUAAAUUCAUACACAAGACGGUUCUUUUCACCACUACCCUCAUUACGAGGCGAAAAACAAGUACAUUUUUAAUACUUAUAUUUGGGUUCUAGGAUUUUUGAGAUGACGUAUUUAUGUAAUGACAGUAGUUUAGUGUGAUUGUAUGUUAUUUAAUUCGUUACUUGGUACUUAAAUAAUUUGAACGACUUUUGUUUUAUACAUAACCUAUAGACUUUACUGUUAAAAUCGUUCUAUUGUUUUUACCAAUGUUGCCUUGUUACGCAUUUCCUUGGUACAAACUGGUAUUUGUCAGCAUUUUGUUAAAUUAUGAACAUCCAUAUUUUGAUUAUUUUCUAUU
rnacentral:misc_RNA from 1 species